AUUGAAUGCUGGCGGCAGGCCUAACACAUGCAAGUCGAACGAGUGGCGGACGGGUGAGUAAUGUCUGGGAAACUGCCCGAUGGAGGGGGAUACCUACUGGAAACGGUAGCUAAUACCGCAUACCAUCGGAUGUGCCCAGAUGGGAUUAGCUAGUAGGUGGGGUAACGGCUCACCUAGGCGACGAUCCCUAGCUGGUCUGAGAGGAGGACCAGCCACACUGGAACUGAGACACGGUCCAGACUCCUACGGGAGGCAGCAGUGGGGAAUAUUGCACAAUGGGCGCAAGCCUGAUGCAGCCAUGCCGCGUACAUGAAGAAGGCCUUCGGGUUGUAAACUACUUUCAGGGAGACGGCGUUACUCGCAGAAGAAGCACCUGCUAACUCCAUGCCCGCGGCCCCGGUCCUUC
rnacentral:rRNA from 1 species